rnacentral:rRNA from 1 species
UACAGAGGUGUCAAACGUUGUCCGGAAUUACUGGGCGUAAAGGGCGCGUAGGCGGCCUUAUAAGUCAGAUGUGAAAGCUCUGGGCUCAACCCAGGAAUUGCAUCUGAUACUGUAAGGCUUGAGUUCGGUAGAGGAGGGCGGAAUUCCAGGUGUAGCGGUGAAAUGCGUAGAUAUCUGGAGGAACACCCGUGGCGAAGGCGGCUCUCUGGUCCGAAACUGACGCUGAGGUGCGAAAGCGUGGGGAGCAAACAGG